ensembl:lncRNA
AAAACAAAAAAAAAAUGCACAAGGUAAUCUCAAUGAUCAAAAAGAGCAUUUCCAUUUUUAUUUUAACGAGACGUCGGUGGAUGUGAUUGUCAAGUAUUUGAAGUGACUUACAUGCAAGUGAUAAGCUGCACAGAUCAUACACUCAAGAAAAAUAAUGACAUUUGAGAGCGAGAAAGAGAGAGAGAGAGAUCGUUAUUAAUGUGAAAGUAGGAAGAUUCCUUGAAAGAAGGCACAUUUGUUUAGCUUAAAACAGACAUGGACAUAUUACAUGAGCAUUUGGUAACAAUAUAACAUUUCACCCAUGUGAAAUGACUUGCUUUUGUGCUUCAGGGAGACAUGAAUGCUAAUACCUAUACUUCAGUUCUUACACUUUGUUUGUGGAGCACAUCAGAGAAAGAACUGAAUAAGAAGACGUCCAUUCUGUCCACAAACAAGAUCCUACAGAUACAUUUCCCUUUAAAUCAACAGCAGUUUGAACCCAAACCUACAGAAGAAACCGUGUAAACUCAAGCGCAGAUCAGGAGACAGCGCUCUCACAGAGAGCAGCGAUCACUUUACAGUAUCAAACACAUCACAGAUUACAUCAGUAAACCGCUGGCAAACCACACAGGGGAAAAAAAGAGAAACGUGUCAAACUAAUAUGUCUGGGACAGAUUCAUGUUGUCAUUCAAAACCUGAGGAGAACAUGAGGUGGACGGAGCAAAAACACACCAAAUAGAAAAUCACUAGAGACAUUAUAGGAAUAGUUCAACUAAAAUGUAACUGUCAUCAUUUACUCACACUCCAGUGUUAUUUUGGACCUCACUGACUUUAAUUUCACUCUUUGUAGCACUGUAAUGAAAGUCAAUGGGGUCCAAAAGAACACUGGACCCCACUGCCUUUCAUUCCAAAAAGAGUUUAAAAUGUGAGAACUAAGUCCUAACUAUUUGGAAUCACAAGAGGGUGAAUAAAUGAUGAGUCUGUGUAAAUGAUCCCUUUCAGGAGCAAAAAACGUGCAAAAUGAAAGGCAGGGUGAGAAUCAGCUGCCAUAGAUUUGGUUUGAAUUAAAGCCAAACUCAAGACAACUUCGUCAGAACUAAAGUGACAUUAACAUUAAUAACCGUGAAUGUGCACACACUGAUCAUGAUAGAUAUCAGUCUCUGUAGAUCAUGAGGCAGACGUGUCCAUUUAAUAUCUGGUUUGUCUUCCCUUCCUGCCUCCCUGGGGGCCCGUUUGAGAACCGAGAGCUUCAGCUAAGAUGUCACUACAUGGAGAACAUAUGGAAGCUUUCAAUGCCUCUAUCAAUCUGCUGAUGAACUGAGAUUGAACUCCAGGUCUGGGCACAUUAUUCAGACAAGCGCUGUGCUGGUGUCACCAUCCGUCAGCGCAGGAGACACAGUGAGGUGCCAGCUGCCGGUUAGGAACGCCGAAAAUGCCAGCCGUGAAGUGCUAACAAUCUUGGAAAACGAAAACAAGGAACGUUUAUUGUCAGUCUGUUUGUCUGACUUGAUGAAUAUUAUGAAUAUUUUUGGUGUAAUUUUUUGGGGGCCUGAAUUUUUCAGUCCAAAAGAACAAACUUGUGGUUUCGUCUGAAGAUCAACAAAAUCAGAGGGUGACACGAAAUCUGUCAAGAACAUGUAAAGGCCACAUUUCACCCCAAUAUCUAAAAGAUUUUAAAUAUGGAAUUUAAUUUAAUUUAAACACUUAAGAGCGUAGCAAUUUAAAAAGAUUAUUUCAAAAUAUUAAAAUGCAAAAAAGAGGUAUAAAUACAUAUAAUAAUAAAAAAA